rnacentral:rRNA from 1 species
UACGUAGGGGGCUAGCGUUAUCCGGAAUUACUGGGCGUAAAGGGUGCGUAGGUGGUUUCUUAAGUCAGAGGUGAAAGGCUACGGCUCAACCGUAGUAAGCCUUUGAAACUGGGAAACUUGAGUGCAGGAGAGGAGAGUGGAAUUCCUAGUGUAGCGGUGAAAUGCAUAGAUAUUAGGAGGAACACCAGUUGCGAAGGCGGCUCUCUGGACUGUAACUGACACUGAGGCACGAAAGCGUGGGGAGCAAACAGGAUUAGAUACCCGCGUAGUCCCUGAG